CAGGACAUUGCGCAGGAAGCGCCAACGACAAUACGGAAACAAGGGAAUCCACCAAGGACGGUGGCGAGCAUGGACGUCAGGAUAUCGGUCUGCAAAACCCCGCUUCGCAAGAGGCGGGGUUUU
rfam:Pseudomonas denitrificans ATCC 13867, complete genome.